UACGGAGGGUGCAAGCGUUGUCCGGAAUCACUGGGCGUAAAGGGCGCGUAGGCGGCCUGGUAAGUAGGGGGUGAAAUCCUGCGGCUUAACCGCAGGCUGCCUUCUAAACUGUCAGGCUUGAGCACGGGUAGAGGCAGAUGGAAUUCCCGGGUGUAGCGGAUGGAAUGCGUAGAGAUGCGGAGGAACACCGAUGGCGAAGGCAGCCCCCUGGGCUGACACUGACGCUCAGGCACGAAAGCGUGGGGAGCAAACAGG
rnacentral:rRNA from 1 species